AUGGCGACCGGCGCACGGGUGAGUAACACGUAUCCAACCUGCCGAUAACUCGGGGAUAGCCUUUCGAAAGAAAGAUUAAUACCCGAUGGUAUGAUCAGACCGCAUGGUCUUGUUAUUAAAGAAUUUCGGUUAUCGAUGGGGAUGCGUUCCAUUAGGCAGUUGGUGAGGUAACGGCUCACCAAACCUUCGAUGGAUAGGGGUUCUGAGAGGAAGGUCCCCCACAUUGGAACUGAGACACGGUCCAA
rnacentral:rRNA from 1 species